UACGGCACGAGCCGGUAUUAGCGAACCCGUCUCGCAGUGGACUGUACCAAAGUAGAGGAAUGUGCCUCGACAGGGUGCUAAUGGUACGUUUAGUCCACUGGCAAAAUCCGAUCCCUGCCUCCUCGUGGCGCUGCCGGAUGUCGGUUUUGAUGAGCUUUGUCCGCUCGUUGAAGCCUAACCAAAGGGACGGUGCUGCUUUCCAAGGAAGGUGUAAAAAAAGAAAGCAGCUGGAGCGAUAUUCGAACACAGCAUCCUGUAGGGACUAGUAAGCUGUUUCCUGUAAACAGGUAUGAAAUGAUUCGUUCAUAAAGGGUUAAGCGAUCGUGACGACAGGUAUCGGUAUUGGAUGUUUGGGACCAGUGCUUUGUUCCUGGAUCGUAACACGAGUAGGAAGAGGGCUGCCCAAGAGCCCCAGAGAAUGCUGUGAGGUGGGCAUCGGUACUGGUAGCUUGGAACCGGUACUAUUGGCCCAAUCACAAGCGCUCAACUGUGGUGGGGGACGUCCAAGCGUCCUGGAGGGGACUGUGGGACGAUCUUGAGCCCGGAACGAGACUGGGAAUCUCAAAGUACGGGCUCGAGAAAGGUUUGAUCACAAAUGUCCCGUAGAUAGUUGGACCAGGUAUCGGUAUUGGAUGUUUGGGACCAGUGCUUUGUUCCUGGAUCGUAACACGAGUAGGAAGGGGGCUGCCCAAGAGCCCCAGAGAAUGCUGUGAGGUGGGCAUCGGUACUGGUAGCUUGGAACCGUUACUAUUGGCCCAAUCACAAGCGCUCAACUGUGGUGGGGGACGUCCAAGCGUCCUGGAGGGGACUGUGGGACGAUCUUGAGCCCGGAACGAGACUGGGAAUCUCGAAGUACGGGCUCGAGAAAGGUUUGAUCACAAAUGUCCCGUAGAUAGUUGGACCAGGUAUCGGUAUUGGAUGUUUGGGACCAGUGCUUUGUUCCUGGAUCGUAACACGAGUAGGAAGAGGGCUGCCCAAGAGCCCCAGAGAAUGCUGUGAGGUGGGCAUCGGUACUGGUAGCUUGGAACCGGUACUAUUGGCCCAAUCACAAGCGCUCAACUGUGGUGGGGGACGUCCAAGCGUCCUGGAGGGGACUGUGGGAUGAUCUUGAGCCCGGAACGAGACUGGGAAUCUCGAAGUACGGGCUCGAGAAAGGUUUGAUCACAAAUGUCCCGUAGAUAGUUGGACCAGGUAUCGGUAUUGGAUGUUUGGGACCAGUGCUUUGUUCCUGGAUCGUAACACGAGUAGGAAAGGGGCUGCCCAAGAGUCCCAGAGAAUGCUGUGAGGUGGGCAUCGGUACUGGUAGCUUGGAACCGGUAGUAUUGGCCCAAUCACAAGCGCUCAACUGUGGUGGGGGACGUCCAAGCGUCCUGGAGGGGAUUGUGGGAUGAUCUUGAGCCCGGAACGAGACUGGGAAUCUCUGAGUACGGGUUCGAGAAAGGUUUGAUCACAAAUAUCCCGUAGAUAGUUAGACCAGGUAUCGGUAUUGGAUGUUUGGGGCCAGUGCCUUGUUCCUGGAUCGUAACACGAGUAGGAAGGGGGCUGCCCAAGAGCCCCAGAGAAUGCUGUGAGGUGGGCAUCGGUACUGGUAGCUUGGAACCGGUACUAUUGGCCCAAUCACAAGCGCUCAACUGUGGUGGGGGACGUCCAAGCGUCCUGGAGGGGACUGUGGGAUGAUCUUGAGCCCGGAACGAGACUGGGAAUCUCGAAGUACGGGCUCGAGAAAGGUUUGAUCACAAAUGUCCCGUAGAUAGUUAGACCAGGUAUCGGUAUUGGAUGUUUGGGACCAGUGCUUUGUUCCUGGAUCUUAACACGAGAAGGAAGAGGGCUGCCCAAGAGCCCCAGAGAAUGCUGUGAGGUGGGCAUCGGUACUGGUAGCUUGGAACCGGUACUAUUGGCCCAAUCACAAGCGCUCAACUGUGGUGGGGGACGUCCAAGCGUCCUGGAGGGGACUGUGGGAUGAUCUUGAGCCCGGAACGAGACUGGGAAUCUCUGAGUACGGGCUCGAGAAAGGUUUGAUCACAAAUGUCCCGUAGAUAGUUGGACCAGGUAUCGGUAUUGGAUGUUUGGGACCAGUGCUUUGUUCCUGGAUCGUAACACGAGUAGGAAGGGGGCUGCCCAAGAGCCCCAGAGAAUGCUGUGAGGUGGGAAUCGGUACUGGUAGCUUGGAACCGGUACUAUUGGCCCAAUCACAAGCGCUCAACUGUGGUGGGGGACGUCCAAGCGUCCUGGAGGGGACUGUGGGAUGAUCUUGAGCCCGGAACGAGACUGGGAAUCUCGAAGUACGGGCUCGAGAAAGGUUUGAUCACAAAUGUCCCGUAGAUAGUUAGACCAGGUAUCGGUAUUGGAUGUUUGGGACCAGUGCUUUGUUCCUGGAUCUUAACACGAGAAGGAAGAGGGCUGCCCAAGAGCCCCAGAGAAUGCUGUGAGGUGGGCAUCGGUACUGGUAGCUUGGAACCGGUACUAUUGGCCCAAUCACAAGCGCUCAACUGUGGUGGGGGACGUCCAAGCGUCCUGGUGGGGACUGUGGGAUGAUCUUGAGCCCGGAACGAGACUGGGAAUCUCUGAGUACGGGCUCGAGAAAGGUUUGAUCACAAAUGUCCCGUAGAUAGUUGGACCAGGUAUCGGUAUUGGAUGUUUGGGACCAGUGCUUUGUUCCUGGAUCGUAACACGAGUAGGAAGGGGGCUGCCCAAGAGCCCCAGAGAAUGCUGUGAGGUGGGAAUCGGUACUGGUAGCUUGGAACCGGUACUAUUGGCCCAAUCACAAGCGCUCAACUGUGGUGGGGGACGUCCAAGCGUCCUGGAGGGGACUGUGGGAUGAUCUUGAGCCCGGAAUGAGACUGGGAAUCUCGAAGUACGGGCUCGAGAAAGGUUUGAUCACAAAUAUCCCGUAGAUAGUUAGACCAGGUAUCGGUAUUGGAUGUUUGGGACCAGUGCUUUGUUCCUGGAUCUUAACACGAGAAGGAAGAGGGCUGCCCAAGAGCCCCAGAGAAUGCUGUGAGGUGGGCAUCGGUACUGGUAGCUUGGAACCGGUACUAUUGGCCCAAUCACAAGCGCUCAACUGUGGUGGGCGACGUCCAAGCGUCCUGGAGGGGACUGUGGGACGAUCUUGAGCCCGGAACGAGACUGGGAAUCUCGGAGUACGGGUUCGAGAAAGGUUUGAUCACAAAUAUCCCGUAGAUAGUUAGACCAGGUAUCGGUAUUGGAUGUUUGGGGCCAGUGCCUUGUUCCUGGAUCGUAACACGAGUAGGAAGGGGGCUGCCCAAGAGCCCCAGAGAAUGCUGUGAGGUGGGCAUCGGUACUGGUAGCUUGGAACCGGUACUAUUGGCCCAAUCACAAGCGCUCAACUGUGGUGGGGGACGUCCAAGCGUCUUGGAGGGGACUGUGGGACGAUCUUGAGCCCGGAACGAGACUGGGAAUCUCGGAGUACGGGCUCGAGAAAGGUUUGAUCACAAAUGUCCCGUAGAUAGUUGGACCAGGUAUCGGUAUUGGAUGUUUGGGACCAGUGCUUUGUUCCUGGAUCGUAACACGAGUAGGAAGGGGGCUGCCCAAGAGCCCCAGAGAAUGCUGUGAGGUGGGAAUCGGUACUGGUAGCUUGGAACCGGUACUAUUGGCCCAAUCACAAGCGCUCAACUGUGGUGGGGGACGUCCAAGCGUCCUGGAGGGGACUGUGGGAUGAUCUUGAGCCUGGAACGAGACUGGGAAUCUCGGAGUACGGGCUUGAGAAAGGUUUGAUCACAAAUGUCCCGUAGAUAGUUGGACCAGGUAUCGGUAUUGGAUGUUUGGGACCAGUGCUUUGUUCCUGGAUCGUAACACGAGUAGGAAGGGGGCUGCCCAAGAGCCCCAGAGAAUGCUGUGAGGUGGGAAUCGGUACUGGUAGCUUGGAACCGGUACUAUUGGCCCAAUCACAAGCGCUCAACUGUGGUGGGGGACGUCCAAGCGUCCUGGAGGGGACUGUGGGACGAUCUUGAGCCCGGAACGAGACUGGGAAUCUCGGAGUACGGGCUCGAGAAAGGUUUGAUCACAAAUGUCCCGUAGAUAGUUGGACCAGGUAUCGGUAUUGGAUGUUUGGGACCAGUGCUUUGUUCCUGGAUCGUAACACGAGUAGGAAGAGGGCUGCCCAAGAGCCCCAGAGAAUGCUGUGAGGUGGGCAUCGGUACUGGUAGCUUGGAACCGGUACUAUUGGCCCAAUCACAAGCGCUCAACUGUGGUGGGGGACGUCCAAGCGUCCUGGAGGGGACUGUGGGACGAUCUUGAGCCUGGAACGAGACUGGGAAUCUCGAAGUACGGGCUCGAGAAAGGUUUGAUCACAAAUGUCCCGUAGAUAGUUGGACCAGGUAUCGGUAUUGGAUGUUUGGGACCAGUGCUUUGUUCCUGGAUCGUAACACGAGUAGGAAGGGGGCUGCCCAAGAGCCCCAGAGAAUGCUGUGAGGUGGGCAUCGGUACUGGUAGCUUGGAACCGGUACUAUUGGCCCAAUCACAAGCGCUCAACUGUGGUGGGGGUCGUCCAAGCGUCCUGGAGGGGACUGUGGGAUGAUCUUGAGCCCGGAACGAGACUGGGAAUCUCUGAGUACGGGCUCGAGAAAGGUUUGAUCACAAAUGUCCCGUAGAUAGUUGGACCAGGUAUCGGUAUUGGAUGUUUGGGACCAGUGCUUUGUUCCUGGAUCGUAACACGAGUAGGAAGGGGGCUGCCCAAGAGCCCCAGAGAAUGCUGUGAGGUGGGCAUCGGUACUGGUAGCUUGGAACCGGUACUAUUGGCCCAAUCACAAGCGCUCAACUGUGGUGGGGGACGUCCAAGCGUCCUGGAGGGGACUGUGGGACGAUCUUGAGCCCGGAACGAGACUGGGAAUCUCGAAGUACGGGCUCGAGAAAGGUUUGAUCACAAAUGUCCCGUAGAUAGUUAGACCAGGUAUCGGUAUUGGAUGUUUGGGACCAGUGCUUUGUUCCUGGAUCGUAACACGAGUAGGAAGGGGGCUGCCCAAGAGCCCCAGAGAAUGCUGUGAGGUGGGAAUCGGUACUGGUAGCUUGGAACCGGUACUAUUGGCCCAAUCACAAGCGCUCAACUGUGGUGGGGGACGUCCAAGCGUCUUGGAGGGGACUGUGGGACGAUCUUGAGCCCGGAACGAGACUGGGAAUCUCGGAGUACGGGCUCGAGAAAGGUUUGAUCACAAAUGUCCCGUAGAUAGUUGGACCAGGUAUCGGUAUUGGAUGUUUGGGGCCAGUGCCUUGUUCCUGGAUCGUAACACGAGUAGGAAGGGGCUGCCCAAGAGCCCCAGAGAAUGCUGUGAGGUGGGCAUCGGUACUGGUAGCUUGGAACCGGUACUAUUGGCCCAAUCACAAGCGCUCAACUGUGGUGGGGGACGUCCAAGCGUCCUGGAGGGGACUGUGGGACGAUCUUGAGCCCGGAACGAGACUGGGAAUCUCGAAGUACGGGCUCGAGAAAGGUUUGAUCACAAAUGUCCCGUAGAUAGUUGGACCAGGUAUCGGUAUUGGAUUUUUGGGACCAGUGCUUUGUUCCUGGAUCGUAACACGAGAAGGAAGAGGGCUGCCCAAGAGCCCCAGAGAAUGCUGUGAGGUGGGCAUCGGUACUGGUAGCUUGGAACCGGUACUAUUGGCCCAAUCACAAGCGCUCAACUGUGGUGGGGGACGUCCAAGCGUCCUGGUGGGGACUGUGGGAUGAUCUUGAGCCCGGAACGAGACUGGGAAUCUCUGAGUACGGGCUCGAGAAAGGUUUGAUCACAAAUGUCCCGUAGAUAGUUGGACCAGGUAUCGGUAUUGGAUGUUUGGGACCAGUGCUUUGUUCCUGGAUCGUAACACGAGUAGGAAGAGGGCUGCCCAAGAGCCCCAGAGAAUGCUGUGAGGUGGGCAUCGGUACUGGUAGCUUGGAACCGGUACUAUUGGCCCAAUCACAAGCGCUCAACUGUGGUGGGGGACGUCCAAGCGUCCUGGAGGGGACUGUGGGACGAUCUUGAGCCCGGAACGAGACUGGGAAUCUCGAAGUACGGGCUCGAGAAAGGUUUGAUCACAAAUGUCCCGUAGAUAGUUGGACCAGGUAUCGGUAUUGGAUUUUUGGGACCAGUGCUUUGUUCCUGGAUCGUAACACGAGUAGGAAGGGGGCUGCCCAAGAGCCCCAGAGAAUGCUGUGAGGUGGGCAUCGGUACUGGUAGCUUGGAACCGGUACUAUUGGCCCAAUCACAAGCGCUCAACUGUGGUGGGGGACGUCCAAGCGUCCUGGUGGGGACUGUGGGAUGAUCUUGAGCCCGGAACGAGACUGGGAAUCUCUGAGUACGGGCUCGAGAAAGGUUUGAUCACAAAUAUCCCGUAGAUAGUUAGACCAGGUAUCGGUAUUGGAUGUUUGGGGCCAGUGCCUUGUUCCUGGAUCGUAACACGAGUAGGAAGGGGCUGCCCAAGAGCCCCAGAGAAUGCUGUGAGGUGGGCAUCGGUACUGGUAGCUUGGAACCGGUACUAUUGGCCCAAUCACAAGCGCUCAACUGUGGUGGGGGACGUCCAAGCGUCCUGGAGGGGACUGUGGGAUGAUCUUGAGCCCGGAAUGAGACUGGGAAUCUCGAAGUACGGGCUCGAGAAAGGUUUGAUCACAAAUAUCCCGUAGAUAGUUAGACCAGGUAUCGGUAUUGGAUGUUUGGGACCAGUGCUUUGUUCCUGGAUCUUAACACGAGAAGGAAGAGGGCUGCCCAAGAGCCCCAGAGAAUGCUGUGAGGUGGGCAUCGGUACUGGUAGCUUGGAACCGGUAGUAUUGGCCCAAUCACAAGCGCUCAACUGUGGUGGGGGACGUCCAAGCGUCCUGGAGGGGACUGUGGGACGAUCUUGAGCCCGGAACGAGACUGGGAAUCUCGGAGUACGGGUUCGAGAAAGGUUUGAUCACAAAUAUCCCGUAGAUAGUUAGACCAGGUAUCGGUAUUGGAUGUUUGGGGCCAGUGCCUUGUUCCUGGAUCGUAACACGAGUAGGAAGGGGGCUGCCCAAGAGCCCCAGAGAAUGCUGUGAGGUGGGCAUCGGUACUGGUAGCUUGGAACCGGUACUAUUGGCCCAAUCACAAGCGCUCAACUGUGGUGGGGGACGUCCAAGCGUCUUGGAGGGGACUGUGGGACGAUCUUGAGCCCGGAACGAGACUGGGAAUCUCGGAGUACGGGCUCGAGAAAGGUUUGAUCACAAAUGUCCCGUAGAUAGUUGGACCAGGUAUCGGUAUUGGAUGUUUGGGACCAGUGCUUUGUUCCUGGAUCGUAACACGAGUAGGAAGGGGGCUGCCCAAGAGCCCCAGAGAAUGCUGUGAGGUGGGAAUCGGUACUGGUAGCUUGGAACCGGUACUAUUGGCCCAAUCACAAGCGCUCAACUGUGGUGGGGGACGUCCAAGCGUCUUGGAGGGGACUGUGGGACGAUCUUGAGCCCGGAACGAGACUGGGAAUCUCGGAGUACGGGCUCGAGAAAGGUUUGAUCACAAAUGUCCCGUAGAUAGUUGGACCAGGUAUCGGUAUUGGAUGUUUGGGACCAGUGCUUUGUUCCUGGAUCGUAACACGAGUAGGAAGGGGGCUGCCCAAGAGCCCCAGAGAAUGCUGUGAGGUGGGAAUCGGUACUGGUAGCUUGGAACCGGUACUAUUGGCCCAAUCACAAGCGCUCAACUGUGGUGGGGGACGUCCAAGCGUCUUGGAGGGGACUGUGGGACGAUCUUGAGCCCGGAACGAGACUGGGAAUCUCGGAGUACGGGCUCGAGAAAGGUUUGAUCACAAAUGUCCCGUAGAUAGUUGGACCAGGUAUCGGUAUUGGAUGUUUGGGACCAGUGCUUUGUUCCUGGAUCGUAACACGAGUAGAAAGAGGGCUGCCCAAGAGCCCCAGAGAAUGCUGUGAGGUGGGCAUCGGUACUGGUAGCUUGGAACCGGUACUAUUGGCCCAAUCACAAGCGCUCAACUGUGGUGGGGGACGUCCAAGCGUCCUGGAGGGGACUGUGGGACGAUCUUGAGCCCGGAACGAGACUGGGAAUCUCUGAGUACGGGCUCGAGAAAGGUUUGAUCACAAAUGUCCCGUAGAUAGUUGGACCAGGUAUCGGUAUUGGAUGUUUGGGACCAGUGCUUUGUUCCUGGAUCGUAACACGAGUAGGAAGAGGGCUGCCCAAGAGCCCCAGAGAAUGCUGUGAGGUGGGCAUCGGUACUGGUAGCUUGGAACCGGUACUAUUGGCCCAAUCACAAGCGCUCAACUGUGGUGGGGGACGUCCAAGCGUCCUGGAGGGGACUGUGGGACGAUCUUGAGCCCGGAACGAGACUGGGAAUCUCUGAGUACGGGCUCGAGAAAGGUUUGAUCACAAAUGUCCCGUAGAUAGUUGGACCAGGUAUCGGUAUUGGAUGUUUGGGACCAGUGCUUUGUUCCUGGAUCGUAACACGAGUAGGAAGGGGGCUGCCCAAGAGCCCCAGAGAAUGCUGUGAGGUGGGCAUCGGUACUGGUAGCUUGGAACCGGUACUAUUGGCCCAAUCACAAGCGCUCAACUGUGGUGGGGGACGUCCAAGCGUCCUGGAGGGGACUGUGGGAUGAUCUUGAGCCCGGAACGAGACUGGGAAUCUCGAAGUACGGGAUUGAGAAUGCUACCCUAAGGCCCUAAAGUUUGCUCUGAGGUGGGUAUCGGUACUGGUGGCUUGGAUCUGGUACUAUUGGCCCAAUCAGGAGGAUUUAGUUAGGAGAGAUUUCCAAGCGUCUAAAAGAGGAACAGUGUUUUUGUGUUGCAGUGCUUGUUUUCGUUACUGGUACUGUGGACAUGGAAACUGUAUUCCAGUAACUGGGAAAAAGGUUGGUGUUCACCUUAUACCUGGAGUUAUACUCAGUUUGAGUUCUAAAAAUAUAACACAAUUAUAAAAAAUACAAAAAAAAGAAGAUUGGCAGGAGUAGAGGACGAAAAGAAAAAUUAUUAAUUAGGUUUCACAUGUGAGUUAAUGUUUGACACAGAAAGUACAAAUACUAUGUAAAAAAUAGUUAUACUAUAUUUUACAAAUCAUUCCGUGGCAAAUUUACAUCAAUGUUAAGAAAUAUUAAAAUCAUCAAAUGACGAUGUAUUAGAUGAUUGGCGUUGUUCUCGUAAAUGCAGUCUUUGUCUAUUCCGUUGUUCUCGUAAAUUUAAAUUCAUCGCAAGUUGAUUAUGAUUUAGGAGUAUUUUCCUAUCAGACAUUAAGUGCCAUCAAGUACCAGAUUAUACCUCAUUUACUUUUUAUAAAAGUUCUAGCAUACAUCAAAACCAACACAUAACUAAGCGAAUAUGAAAGUAAGUUGCACGAGCCACAUGAACUGUUGUCCAUAAAGACUGACAGAGUUUCAAAAAUCAUGUUAAGUAUAGGGAAAAUAGUAACGUGAUAAUAGAACAUUCAAUUUGAGAGCCUUUCGGUUUAAACAAGAAGUUUGUAAAUCAAUAUUGAAGAUUAGAAAAUAAUUAGGUAUGAAAGAUCAUGUUGCCGGUCAUACAGUUCGCAGCAGAAAGGCCUGAUAGAAACUUGUUGAAAUAACAACCGUACACAUUUUGAGCAGAGAAAAUCUAUCAUCGAUCUCCCGGAGUUGUGCUUGGUUUCCCAACUGAUUUCUCUAUUGAUUCCAACCAUGUUUUAUAAGUGAAACAUAACAUUAGAGUCAUAUACAAUAGAGACAUAUAUAAUACUGUAGGGACGGUCCCGUGAGCCAAUCUACAACUCGUACAACUCAAUGGCAUGCUCGUGAUGGGUUCAAGCCUAGAAUGGACCGUCCCCCGGUGGCAACGACCAGCUAUUCGACUAAGUGGUACCUGUAGAACCUUGAAAACCUAUAUAAGCCGCGGACAUGCUGGUAGGACGCUACCCCAAAUGGAGGAAGAAGAAGAAAAAUAGAGAACAAAGAAACAGAACAUGAAUGUCAACUACAAUUGCGCCAACAUCGGUGCUGGUGGAUAUGGUGCAUCGAAUGUUAUGAAUGAAUCGGUCGAAAGUCGUUGGACAGUUGCUAAGCUGCGAUGAACUCGAGUCAUUUUGUAGCAGAGUAACAAGCCAAUUGGAUUCGAAAACGAAAUCCUGGCGUUGCUUCAGAAACGAUGACGAAGUAGUAAUAAUACAUACAUGAACAUCACCCAGCAUCAUAUUGUAAGCGGAAAGGGGAAUGAUGAUGGUUUUUUCGAAACAGCAAACUAAUGCUCACAUCACAGGUAUUUAAAGAAUGACAACAUUGGGUACUUAUCAUGGUUGUAGAGACAGAUUUGGAUGAACUUUGUUCGUUGGACUUGUUCACUAUAAGACCAACUGACUGACUGAAAUUUCUGCUGUGUCCCAUGAGCUCAAAAUGGAGUAAUACCUCUAGCGGAGUCUUCCGCCGGCAUAUUAUUCUCAACAGCCACAAAGAAUGGCCACGCAGUAUUGCUAUCACCGGCUAUGAUCGAUGCCUAAUAACUUCAACUAUCUUUAGUCAACAUGUUGGACUUCGGGAAAUAAAUGUUGAAAUAGUUGCGCUUUGAGUUUAGAAUUCGUCAAAAAAGAUUCCUUUGAUUAUCAAAAAGCCUUUCAUAGCCAACAUCAGUUAACAGAACAGGAAAUACGGAAGGAUAAAGAGUUGAAUAUGUUAUCUUUAGACAACAACAUGUCAUUUUUAGAGAACAUAGACAGGAAUAGUUUGAGUUUGAAUAAAAUACGACCACUAUCUACAGGAUAUACGAAUACGUCUCAAUAAUGCAGGAAUUUUUUUCACAAAUAAAAUGUAUAGGUUACACAAAAAUGUAUUACCGUGAUUUGUAAUAAAACUGGAUUGAAAACAA